AUACCAUUCCUUUCUUCCCCUCUUUCGCUUUCUUGAAAACCUCCUCUAUCUCUCCCUCUUAGAUCUCCUCCUGCCCCCAUCGAUCAUCGUUAAAUCCGUCAGCGCUCUUCUGGUUCGGUUUCAUCAGUGAAAUCUUCUACCGACAACCUUCUCUAAAACAUCCUCCCAGUUCUGAUCCAAGAUUCGUGCCAUCGUGCCUCCCAUCACAUGGCAUUCGGCGACGAAGAUACCCCUUCCGCCCCCCUCAACGAGGACAAGGAUCACUCCACCAGUCCAUCAAACCCAACGCGAUCCUUACCAGCGGCAGCGAACAACACAGACUCGAUCGAAACCAUCGCUCACAAAAUCCAAGAAUCUCUCUCCGUGACCAAGCGACACCGCUUCUGGGAGACCCAACCUGUCGGCCAAUUCAAAGAUAUCGGCGACGCCUCGCUUCGGGAAGGCCCGAUCGAGCCGCCGACCCCCUUAUCGGAUGUAAAACCGGAUCCCUACACCCUCCCCGCUCUCUACGAGUGGACCACCUGUGACAUCGACGAUGACACCACCGCCGCCGAGGUAUAUACGCUCCUAGCUAACAACUACGUCGAGGACGAUGAUAACAUGUUCCGCUUCAACUACUCCAAGGAAUUCCUCCGUUGGGCUCUCCGCCCUCCGGGUUACUUCAAGGCCUGGCACAUUGGUGUCCGCGUCAAAGCCAAUAAAAAGCUCGUAGCUUUCAUUACCGGCGUUCCUGCUAGGAUUCGGGCUGGCAGCGAGGUUGUGCGAAUGGCGGAGGUAAACUUCCUGUGCGUCCACAAGAAGCUGAGGUCCAAGCGGCUUGCCCCUGUUCUCAUCAAGGAGGUCACCCGCCGUAUACAUCGCGAGGAUAUUUGGCAGGCCGCGUACACUGCCGGUGUUGUCCUCCCGACACCGAUAGCCACUUGCCAAUAUUGGCAUCGCUCGCUGAACCCUAAGAAGCUCAUUGAUGUCGGGUUCUCACGUCUCGGUGCGAGGAUGACGAUGAGCCGUACCAUCAGGCUCUAUAAGCUUCUUCCUUCGCCAGUCACCCCUGGGUUUCGGAAGAUGGAGUUCCGUGAUGUGUUCGCGGUAACGAGGCUGCUCAGGGAUUACCUGUCCAAGUUUGUGGUUGCCCCAGAUUUGGACGAGAAGGAUGUUGAACACUGGCUACUACCUAGGGAGGAUGUGGUGGAUAGCUUCUUGGUUGAGAGCCCUGAUAGUCACGAAAUCACUGAUUUCUGCAGCUUUUAUACUCUUCCGUCUUUGAUACUCAAUAAUGCAACUUACUCGAACUUGAAGGCAGCAUAUUCUUUCUACAACGUGGCCACGAAGACGCCUCUUUUACAGCUGAUGAAUGAUGCACUCACUGUUGCGAAGCAGAAGGAUUAUGAUGUUUUUAAUGCAUUGGAUGUUAUGGAGAAUGAGUCCUUCCUGAAGGAGCUGAAGUUCGGGCCAGGAGAUGGGAUGCUUCACUACUAUCUGUAUAACUACCGUCUCAAACAUGCUUUGAAGCCUUCCGAGCUUGGAUUAGUUCUCUUGUAGACUCUGCCUUGGAACUUUUUUUUUUUGGAUUUGACUCUUCCUUAAUGAUUGCUUUUAUUUUGGGGGCGCUCAUGUUAUCAACAUUCAAAGCAAAAGAUGAAAGAAUUUUAUCUUCAGAUGUGUUCUUUGAAAGCAAGGUAGCGAUGGAAGGUAACUCGAGAUAUGAAAUUUGUCUUCAAAGUUGAUAUUGAUAGAGCUCAAUUAACUUGUCUUCGAGUUGAAAUCAUUAAUGUAAGAAAAUUAGAGUUUUCUUCAGAUAACCUGAGAUUAGUGAACUUUUGCUUAAGAUUUAACUUCUUAAAAGUGGAAUCAUCAAAGUUUUAAUGAACUUUUUUGAGUGUGGAAAGCAACAGUAUUAUUAGCCCAGACCAUGUGAACUUUUAAUACUUGCCUUCAUAUAAAUUUCCCUUCUUGAUUAGUAACAAAUGAAUUUUAUGCCCUCAAAAGCUAAUGAAUUUAGAAAAAAGAAAAAAAAAAAACUAAGAUUCUAUUUGUUUCUUCUUAGGGUGAUAGUAACCAGCAAAAGCAUGAAUAUGAGAAGCAAAGCACAACAAACACAGACAUAAGUUCAUAGAAAUGCAAUAUCUAUUGUAUUUGUAUGGUUUGAUGAGAUCCACCGACUUCCAUGAUCUCAUAGAAAUUGCAUAAUCUCCAAGCUUCAUAAGGAGCACUUGGAGUUAUUGUACUUCAUAUUAAGAGGGGGGAUACGAAUAGAGAUUACACGUUAUUCUUUUUAGUUAUUAAGAAAGAACAUGGCCAUC